rnacentral:rRNA from 1 species
UACGUAGGGCGCAAGCGUUAUCCGGAAUUAUUGGGCGUAAAGAGCUCGUAGGCGGUUUGUCGCGUCUGCCGUGAAAGUCCGGGGCUCAACUCCGGAUCUGCGGUGGGUACGGGCAGACUAGAGUGAUGUAGGGGAGACUGGAAUUCCUGGUGUAGCGGUGAAAUGCGUAGAUAUCGGAAGGAACACCGGUGGCGAAAGCGGCGUGCUGGAUCCCGUUCUCGACGCUGAGGCGCGAAAGCCAGGGGAGGCGGAACGGGG